GUGUGAUCCUGGCUCAGAUUGAACGCUGGCGGCAGGCCUAACACAUGCAAGUCGAACGGUAACAGGGAAGCAAGCUUGCUGCUUUGCUGACGAGUGGCGGACGGGUGAGUAAUGUCUGGGAAACUGCCUGAUGGAGGGGGAUAACUACUGGAAACGGGUGGCUAAUACCGCAUAACGUCGCAAGACCAAAGAGGGGGACCUUCGGGCCUCUUGCCAUCAGAUGUGCCCAGAUGGGAUUAGCUUGUUGGUGAGGUAACGGCUCACCAAGGCGACGAUCCCUAGCUGGUUCUGAGAGGAUGACCAGCCACACUGGAACUGAGACACGGUCCAGACUGCCUACGGGAGGCAGCAGUGGGGAAUAUUGCACAAUGGGCGCAAGCCUGAUGCAGCCAUGCCGCGUGUAUGAAGAAGGCUCGGGUUGUAAAGUACUUCAGCGGGGAGGAAGGUGUUGUGGUUAAUAACCGCAGCA
rnacentral:rRNA from 1 species